UACCUCAUAAAAUUGUUUAAAAUCAAUAUUUCUAAUCAAAUAGUUUAAUUUCUCUAUUUUACUUUUUUACCACUUAAAGCACAAUGAGGGCUUAAAAUUUCAAUUCACAAGGUAAAACACCAAAUAAAGUGUUUUAACAGAAUAUUUAAUGUAAUUUCAAGGUCACAGCAGAGUUGCCCUGCAGCCUCGUCGGCAAAGAGCAGGAAAUUCUGAAAAAAGCCUUAAAAAUGCUCCGAAACAGGAGGGAGGACCUCCGAAGGUCAGGAAAGAAGAGAGAAGGACUUCAGCUUCACUCCAACAACAUGUAAGACUGCUGAAAAAAGGUUGGAG